UACGGAGGAUCCAAGCGUUAUCCGGAUUUACUGGGUUUAAAGGGUGCGUAGGCGGAUUGAUAAGUCAGUGGUGAAAUCCUGCAGCUUAACUGCAGAACUGCCAUUGAUACUGCCAGUCUGGAGUAUGGUUGAGGUAGCUGGAAUGUGUCAUGUAGCGGUGAAAUGCUUAGAGAUGACACAGAACACCGACGGCGAAGGCAGGUUACCAACCCAUUACUGACGCUGAGGCACGAAAGCGUGGGGAUCAAACAGG
rnacentral:rRNA from 1 species